rnacentral:rRNA from 1 species
UACGUAGGGGCCAAGCGUUGUCCGGAUUUAUUGGGCGUAAAGAGCUCGUAGGCGGUUUGGGUAAGUCGGGUGUGAAAAACUCCAGGCUCAACUUGGAGAUGCCACCCGAUACUGUCUGACUUGAGUUCGGUAGGGGAGUGGGGAAUUCCUGGUGUAGCGGUGAAAAUGCGCAGAUAUCAGGAGGAACACCGGUGGCGAAGGCGGUUCUCUGGGGCAUUACCUGACGUGAGGCGCGAAAAGCGUGGGGGAGCAAAACAGG